rnacentral:rRNA from 1 species
AGAGUUUGAUCCUGGCUCAGGAUGAACGCUAGCGGCAGGCUUAACACAUGCAAGUCGAGGGGUAGAAGCAGCUUGCUGCUUUGAGACCGGCGCACGGGUGCGUAACGCGUAUGCAAUCUGCCUUUCACAAAGGGAUAGCCCAGAGAAAUUUGGAUUAAUACCUUAUAGUAUAUGGAUGUGGCAUCACAAUCAUAUUAAAGAUUUAUCGGUGAAAGAUGAGCAUGCGUCCCAUUAGCUUGUUGGUAAGGUAACGGCUUACCAAGGCAACGAUGGGUAGGGGUCCUGAGAGGGAGAUCCCCCACACUGGUACUGAGACACGGACCAGACUCCUACGGGAGGCAGCAGUGAGGAAUAUUGGACAAUGGGCGCAAGCCUGAUCCAGCCAUGCCGCGUGCAGGAUGAAGCAUCUAUGGUGUGUAAACUGCAUUUAUACGGGAAGAAACCCUCGAACGUGUUCGAGAUUGACGGUACCGUAGGAAUAAGGACCGGCUAACUCCGUGCCAGCAGCCGCGGUAAUACGGAGGGUCCAAGCGUUAUCCGGAAUCAUUGGGUUUAAAGGGUCCGUAGGCGGGCCAGUAAGUCAGUGGUGAAAUCUCCCGGCUCAACCGGGAAAUUGCCAUUGAUACUGCUGGUCUUGAAUUAUUGGGAAGUAACUAGAAUAUGUAGUGUAGCGGUGAAAUGCUUAGAGAUUACAUGGAAUACCGAUUGCGAAGGCAGGUUACUACCAAUAUAUUGACGCUGAUGGACGAAAGCGUGGGUAGCGAACAGGAUUAGAUACCCUGGUAGUCC